rnacentral:rRNA from 1 species
AGAGUUUGAUCCUGGCUCAGAACGAACGCUGGCGGCAGGCCUAACACAUGCAAGUCGAGCGCACCUUCGGGUGAGCGGCGGACGGGUUAGUAACGCGUGGGAACGUACCCUUUUCUACGGAAUAGCCUUUGGAAACGAAGAGUAAUACCGUAUACGCCCUUUGGGGGAAAGAUUUAUCGGAGAAGGAUCGGCCCGCGUUAGAUUAGAUAGUUGGUGGGGUAACGGCCUACCAAGUCUACGAUCUAUAGCUGGUUUUAGAGGAUGAUCAGCAACACUGGGACUGAGACACGGCCCAGACUCCUACGGGAGGCAGCAGUGGGGAAUCUUAGACAAUGGGCGCAAGCCUGAUCUAGCCAUGCCGCGUGAGUGAUGAAGGCCUUAGGGUCGUAAAGCUCUUUCGCCUGUGAUGAUAAUGACAGUAGCAGGUAAAGAAACCCCGGCUAACUCCGUGCCAGCAGCCGCGG